rnacentral:sRNA from 1 species
UUAAGGUGAGUAAGUUGGAUAGAUGGUGGCUAAUAUCAGUAUAAAGUGAGGUGGUGCUUAUGAAAGUACCGACAAAAUCUUUAGAAAGGAGACGCCUUGUUUGGUUUCAAUUGUAGAAGUGCCGUACUUAAUGUUAGGUUUCGGUACAUUCAUCGUUACCUUGUUAGGU